GACGAACGCUGGCGGCGUGCUUAACACAUGCAAGUCGAACGGAAAGGCCCUGCUUUUGUGGGGUGCUCGAGUGGCGAACGGGUGAGUAACACGUGAGUAACCUGCCCUUGACUUUGGGAUAACUUCAGGAAACUGGGGCUAAUACCGGAUAGGAGCUCCUGCUGCAUGGUGGGGGUUGGAAAGUUUCGGCGGUUGGGGAUGGACUCGGGGCUUAUCAGCUUGUUGGUGGGGUAGUGGCUUACCAAGGCUUUGACGGGUAGCCGGGCUGAGAGGGGGGCCGGAUAAACUGGGACGGGGAUGCGGCCCGGACCCGUCUGCGAGGCGGGAGAGCAGUAGAGAGUACUAGGCACGGAGGCCAAACGUAGUCAAGCCGUGCGGCGUGAGUGAGGAAGCGCUUAGGAUUGCACAGUUGCCUCUGAUGGGGAGAUAAUGACGGUAAUAGGAAAAGAAGCACCGGCUAACUACGUG
rnacentral:rRNA from 1 species